rnacentral:lncRNA from 1 species
GUCUAAUCCUCUGCGAUGGGGCCAGUCUGCAGAUCCGUCUGGGCGGGCUGCGGUAGCAUUCUCCACCUGCCAACACUCAGUUGCUGAGAUGACGCCUUGCUGUGUUGCCCAGGGUGGUCUCUAAUUCCUGGCCUUUAGCAAUUCUCCCGCCUUGGCCUCCUAAAGCACUGGGGUUACAGGCAUGAACCACUGUGCCCAGCCUGCAUGAUGUAAUCUCCAAAUUGAGGGCAGGAGAGAGAGUGGUCUCACAACGGAAGGGCACCAGCCACUGAGAAGUCCUAAGGCCGUGUUUGAGUUCUGGCUCAUCUUUUUUGCUAAUUUGCUCUUAUGCAUAUCACCCAACCUCGCUAAGCCAGUUUCAUCAUCAGCGAGAACAGCACACUGACAUGCAGGGCCAGCUCAGGCGCUACCACAAGCUACACAUCCGUCCAUUCGUUUAAUCUUCACAGCAGCCCUGGAGGUCACCCAGGCAUGGAAUGCACAGCUCUGCCAGACAGAAAGCGCUUUGGAUGCCUGAGAAACAACAGCUUGUCCGGGCUACUGAUGCGAAGAGAGGCCAUGGUUUCCUUUUUCUCUGCUCUGAAUGGCAGCCUUGACGUCACAACAGCUAGGAACCACUGGAGGGACAAAUAACAAGGCGCAAGCCAGAAGCGCCCUGCUCUGUCGCAGGGGCAGGGCCAUUUUCAUCCAGUUCUGAUGUCUUCUGUGGCCGCUGCGAGUCGGCGGGAGUAGAGACAAAUGACUGGAGCUUUAGGCGUAAAGGCGGUCUCUCUCUAGGCUGAUCAAACAGCCCUUUGCCCAGUGCUAAUUGCCUUCACGGAACCUGGAUAAACUACAGUUCCCGAAUUAAACUUGUUUCUGAUGAACUAGACUUCCCAGGGAAUGGGUGUAGUGAUUUUGCUGAUGGUUCAGACAUCGGCACUUUCCCUGAAGGGCUCAACUUCCUGUGUUUAAAAGCAGACCUAACAGGGGCUGGCGCAUAAGCAUCCCGGGAAAUACAAGAAGCUCAUGAAAGCAGGCAGCCUUUGCAAGAGACCUGACUUAUUUUCUAGGAGAAAAACAUCCUUUUAGGGAUUUUAUAAUUUAAGUUUAAGCAAUUAAACAUGUGCAUCAGUACCCAACUGCAGGUGUUUGAACAAAUGAGGGGAAAACGCUCAGAGGCUGCCAGGCUUAACUCACCAUUAUCUAAAAUGAAUUGUCUGUGUAAGUCAUCACAGCAGUUUGAAAAGCAUGAUCUUUCAUGUUUCAACCUCACAUCAAAAUUCUAAAUUAUAUUUAGCUAUGUGAGUGUCAGAUCAUUUGUUUCCAUUAUCAAUGCGAUGUUGGGCAAUUUGCAGACAGGAUCUGAAAGCAUCAUCCAUGACUUUCAUGGAACAGAAAAGAGCUUUCUGUUGCCACAGAUUUGCCCUAAGUUCAGUCCUCUGCCUUUGGAGCACUGACAGCUGUCACCAAACCCAAACCCCAGUCUGAACCCAUAGUGCUCAAGGUACUUUGGGAAAGCUAAUUCAGGAAAACCACAGGCUGGAGGGGUUGUCUUUGAGGUGUGUAUGUGUGUGUGUGUGUAUGCACAUUUGUUGGCAGUGUGUGGACUGAGCACAACAUAUAGAGAGGCAGUGUUCUCAGGACUUCUGUGCUCCUAUUUGGAAAAAUUCGGCAGAAGAAACAACAGCUCUGAGACACUCAGCCCCUUUCAUCAGCUCUUUCUUUGCUUAAUUAAAUACACAGUUCCCCCCAAAGCACUCUUUCCCUGAGGUCAUAGUGUCAGUCUUGUUUCAUGAGAAUAAUCUGCUAUGAAUAUUUACUCACUUUCAAAAACAAAAGAGGGUUAAAAAUCUGAUCCAAAAUGUCACUUACGACACCUACAACAGAAUCUAC